AUGCAAGAGCUCGGCCCGUUCCGCGUGAACCCCGACGGCAAGACCCUGAGCAGAAACAGGCACGCCUGGAACAAUGUGGCAAAUGUGAUCUUCCUGGAGUCGCCGGCGGGCGUGGGAUUCUCGUACUCGAACACGUCGUCGGAGAACCACGAGAGCGGCGACACGAGGACCGCGGUGGACGCCUACAACUUCCUGCUCAACUGGCUGGAGAGGUUCCCGGAGUACAAGGGCCGAGACUUCUACAUCGCCGGCGAGAGCUACAGCGGCCACUACGUCCCCCAGCUCGCCACCGUUAUCGUCGCCCUCCGCAAACUCGGCGCCACAAGCAUGAACCUCAAGGGGAUCUUCGUUGGCAACCCGUACCUUGAUGACUACAAGAACACGAGGGGACGGUACGAGUUCUUGUGGAACCACGGCGUGAUCUCCGACGAGGUGUGGGGCAACAUCAGCGAGCACUGCAGCUUCGGUCGGUUGGAGGGCAAAGCGUGCGGCCAGGCCAAGGCCAAGGCGUCCGUCAGAACCGGCAACAUUGAUCGUUACAACAUCUACGCUCCCGUCUGCAUCAGGUCGCGAGACGGGAGCAUCCACUCCAGUAGCUACUUAGCAGGCUAUGAUCCGUGCAUCGGGCACUAUGUCGACGCCUACUUCAACAAUCCUGAGGUGCAGAAGGCCAUGCAUGCUCGAACCAACACUGACUGGUCAGAGUGCGCUAACGUAAAUUGGAGCGAUGCCCCAAUUUCCAUGGUGCCAACCAUUGAUUGGCUUGUCAACAACGGAUUAAGAAUCUGGCUGUACAGCGGUGACAUGGAUGAUGUCUGCCCGAUUACGGCGACGAGGUACUCCGUCAAGGAUCUCAAUCUGACGGUCACAAACCCGUGGCGUCCAUGGUACACCCCAGACAGCGAGGUUGGAGGCUACGCUCAGCAAUACAAGGGAGGAUUCACAUUUGCGUCAGUGAGAGGAGCUGGCCAUAUGGUUCCUAGCUUCCAGCCUAAAAGAUCGCUUGUUCUUUUCUACUCCUUCCUCAAAGGCGUUCUGCCACCUGCGGUCCCGGAAUUGAACGCCUGA
rnacentral:rRNA from 1 species